GGGGGCGUGGCGAAAUUGGUAGACGCACUGGAUUUAGGUUCCAGCGCCGCAAGGUGUAAGAGUUUGAGUGUCUUCGCCCCCACCA
rnacentral:tRNA from 1 species